rnacentral:rRNA from 1 species
AAUUCGAAGCAACGCGCAGAACCUUACCAGCCUUUGACAUCCUAGGACGGUUUCUGGAGACAGACUCCUUCCCUUCGGGGACCUAGUGACAGGUGCUGCAUGGCUGUCGUCAGCUCGUGUCGUGAGAUGUUGGGUUAAGUCCCGCAACGAGCGCAACCCUCGUCCUUAGUUGCCAUCAUUUAGUUGGGCACUUUAAGGAAACUGCCGGUGAUAAGCCGGAGGAAGGUGGGGAUGACGUCAAGUCCUCAUGGCCCUUACAGGCUGGGCUACACACGUGCUACAAUGGCAUCUACAGUGGGCAGCUAUCCCGCAAGGGUGAGCUAAUCUCCAAAAGAUGUCUCAGUUCGGAUUGUCCUCUGCAACUCGAGGGCAUGAAGGCGGAAUCGCUAGUAAUCGCGGAUCAGCAUGCCGCGGUGAAUACGUUCCCAGGCCUUGUACACACCGCCCGUCACACCAUGGGAGUUGGAUUCACCCGAAGGCAGUGCGCUAACCGCAAGGAGGCAG